rnacentral:lncRNA from 8 species
GGCUACACUUUCAGUACAAACGCACCAAAAUUCCCUCCGAAUUGUGUUUAUCAUAAAUCCCAUUCAGAUAUAAUAUUCGCUCAAAUUGAUUGUGUGAAAACAGAUGAGCACACGGCCCAACACUGCUCUGAGCUGCUCUACUCAACGCUGCAACAAGGAUUAGUAGAUGUUGACUAUGGAAUUCUUCCAACACACACACACCCAUUCUGCCCUGAGACUGAACAAUCAGCUUUCACAGUUCAGCUGCUAUUCAAGGGAGAGCGGCACGGCAAAACAGAUCAAUUCUUCAUGAGCUCUGUGCUGUAUGUACCUGACAUGGAUCCACAAGAAGGAGCGAUGGACCCGGUGGGACAGGUACACAUGUUGGGUCUGGAGCAGAACCCGUCUCCACACGAGCUCCGACAGAUGGCUGCAGAGGACCAGAGAGACAACACAUGUCAGUACAACACACACACCUCCUAACCACACACAGUCUGCAUGGAUCUAGAAACCCAGUCAUCUGAGUUGAUUAUGAGGAGGAUAUUACAGAGAUUCUCCUGAUCUUACAGGAGAGCACAUUCAAAUGUUAUGCCCAUAGGGCCUAGAGUUUGUACAGGUCAGGUUACCUGGUUAGGAAAAACUCUGGUCCCUCUAGUCUACAAUAGAAGGGUGUCUAUUGGCUGUCACUAGCUUCUCCCCCUUCAGUCUCUCACUGUAUAGUUGAACAUCCCAGCUAACCAGAAGAGAGACCUCAUCAGGAGCUUUCAUUUGAAACAUAAAACUCCUGUUGGCCAGUUAUGUGUGUUCUGUUGCUCAGCCCUCAUCAUGGCUGGGCUGGGUUUAGUACUGUAAUACUGGUGCCCAUCUGGUAGGACUGCUGCGCUGCUAUUUUUUACCCAGUAUUCACUACUUUUGGGUGGACAUACAGUACAGACUUAACGACUGUAUUCAGGAAGGCAGCCUGGAGCUGGUACACCCACCCCUAUCCCUCCUGCUACCAUAGCAACCCCUCCCCCCAGCCCAGUCAGGUAGAGGGAGGCAGGAAGCAUGGGGAGAGUGACCCUGUGUCCCAAGACUCCACUGCUAAACAACGUCAUUAGAGGAAGGCAGGCAGGCAGGCAGGCAGGCAGGCAGGCAGGCAGGCAGGCAGGCAGGCAAACAGGCUGCAAUCACAAUCCCAAUCACACAGUCCUGUGCAACCCACCACCCUGCUACGGGCUUCCUGAACCCAACUCUGAUACAAGUUCCCUGCUUUCCUGAGAGAGAGAGAGAGAGAGAGAGAGAGAGAGAGAGAGAGAGAGAGAGAGAGAGAGAGAGAGAGAGAGAGAGAGAGAGAGAGAGAGAGAGAGAGAGAGAGAGAGAGAGAGAGAGAGAGAGAGAGAGAGAGAGAGAGAGAGAGAGAGAGAGAGAUGCCUGCUACUCUGGCCAGGGCAAAACAACAUCUCAGAGAGCAGACCCAUUCAGACUCAGGAGACAAACUGACAUCACCUUUCAUUUGACUGAAGUAUCACUUCACUGUUUCACUUCUCUGAUCUGAACAGUUCAGGCUCACUUUAACCCUGGCUUAAUAGCAUAUCAUGUUGGUCCCACGCACAUACUCUAUAGUAAGUAGCCUACGGACUGGGGUCAUUGGUAGCUUGAGGGUUAAACACCUUCAGUAGGUUUUGAUUUCCAGUCUCAUCAGAGUAUGACCGGAUAGCUAAGUAUUAAUGAGUUAGUUAUCUCAGAGCCACGCUGUGUCUGGCUAAGCUAAUUGGACAAACAGCGCUAGCUGCCCACAGAGAGAGCUGGACCGCCUCCCUACUGCGCCACAGGACAUGGUGGGCCAGAACCACAGCGUUCUGGAACAGGACCGGGUUCGGGCCCGCCCACCAGCCUGGCUCAGACACAAACACACUAACCUCAUAGUGUUACAAGCACUCAUCAUACUAUACUCAACAAUACACAGUACACCCUGCCUUACCGACACAGACAUAUUACUAUGAGACAGUCAGUACACCCUGCCUUACAUACACAGACAUAUUACUAUGAGACAGUCAGUACACCCUGCCU